rnacentral:rRNA from 1 species
CUCGUAGGUGGCCAACUAAGUCAGACGUGAAAUCCCUCGGCUUAACCGGGGAACUGCGUCUGAUACUGGAUGGCUUGAGUUCGGGAGAGGGAUGCGGAAUUCCAGGUGUAGCGGUGAAAUGCGUAGAUAUCCGGAGGAACACCGGUGGCGAAGGCGGCAUCCUGGACCGACACUGACGCUGAGGAGCGAAAGCCAGGGAGCAAACG